CCGCCCCUCACGGGCGCCCCGGCAGCGCCGCGCGCCUCCCGGGGCUCCCCACGGGCUCCCCACGGGGCCCCGCAGAGCCCACACCGCCCACACCGCCGCCUGCGCGAGCGGGACCCGAGCUGUGAGCUCCCCACGAGUGACCCCCCGGUGCCCGCCUUUGUGCCGUGCCCAGAGAAGCGGCUGCUUCCCCCGCCCGGGCAGGCCGCCCGCAGCGUGUCCCAUGGCAGUGCAAGGAUCAGCGAUUUUAUCCCAUGGGUUUAACACAUGCGGCACAAGACAGAUGGGAUACCCAGGCUGGUGGAUUUGUACCAGGGAAAGUCCAGCUCAGGAGCAGCGGCGCUACACAAGAGACCAAAGUGCCCAGACCUCGGCAGCAUUCAUUUCUCCUUGUUGCUACUGAAUAGGAAGAAAUACCCUAUGAAGGGCUUGAAUUCCUCGAGGGUGCAUAAUGGUAUCAGUUACUGAAAGUUAUUAAUGAAAGUUACUAAUGAAAGCUUAUCAGAGCCCUACCCGCAAUGCCAAGAGGGGCUGCUCCACUCUUGGGCAGCUGGGAAGAUGUCCUGCCUUCUCCAUUGCCCCACCUGGGCUGCACUCACUUCUGCUUUCUGCAUUUCAGACACUGGGGUCACUUCCAUUCCAUUCCAAUAUCCAGUUUUUUCAAGCCAAGAUAAAUCAGUUAAGCUAUACAUCAAGCAUAACACCAUGGCAAGCAAAUAAGCACAUUCCAAUUUGGAAAUUAAGUGUCUUUAUUCAACAAGCACGUGAUAGUGCCCUUAAAUUAUUCAAUCAAUGAAACAUGUAAAACUAUCUGCUUACACCUCCAAGUGCACAGAUAGUGAAAAGAGAAAAGCUAAAAAAAAAUGUUAUUCAAGUCACUUUUAUUCCUCAGUCAAAGAAAAAACAAUACUUUUGGUCAAAUGUAUUCUUGCUCACACCCCAUAAGGCCCAGGCAGUUCAUCCACUUCCACCAGUCUCUUCCAGGGGUAAACUUGCAUGAUUCACCUAAAAAUUAGCAGUAAAUAAUUCCAGUGGAUUUGCAGCACUAAGGGAGUUUUGUGCCAGUCUCUGCUCUUGGACCACCUCUUCACUGGAGAAUGCUUAGCAGCAAAGGCUAAAUGCUGCAAGAAAAUGAAGAUUCCUACUGGUCAUAAGCACAGAAAUUCUGGAGGCUGGAGGAGAGUGGGACAGCUCAGUGCCCUCUCUGCAGAGCAGCAUUCCCUGCUCCAGGCCACCUCCCAGAUGUGGCACCAUGCUUGUGGAGAUAUCCCA